rnacentral:lncRNA from 1 species
CCAAAUGUUCGAUAGCUAAGCAAGAGGAGUAGAACGGCCGGUUCUUGCAUCGCAUGGGGAUAUAGCCGCCUGAAGAUGGGUUAGCAGAUGAAUAAUAGCAUAAACUCAGGAUAAGGAUAAAUUAAUAUCAACCAGUAAAAACCAAGUAAAACAACCAUAUGCAUAUAAACCAUACAUAGAUAUAACCAUGUUAAGAAAGGGAACCAGGUUUAGCAUGCAUUUAAACUAUGAGUAGUACACAUCCUGUACGAGUGGUACCCACCUCUCGUACCUAGGCUUUCCCUCUUAGACCAUCAUGGCCCAAGGUACGACAAGCCUAAACCCAAGUUGUAUCCAAGUGUAAGACUAGUACCCAUAAAUCGUACCCCUAGAAGAAUAGAAUCCAAGGAGGUUUGAACAUCAUCCCCUUAUACAACUCCUAGGUAUGACUCGUACCCUAGCUUACGGCUCAUGGUGAGCCACCCGUACUCAGAUCCAACCUAACUUACCAAGUUCAAGGUUAAGUAAAGAAACCAAACAACCUGUAUCCACUAAUACGACUCAAACCACCCAAGUCAUACUUAUUCCAGUAACUAAAUAUAUCCUACCAACCAACACUGGUCAGCAUAUGGCUGGACCAUACCACCCGUACCUAAGUGUACGACUUAUUCUCUACGUCGUAUCUUGCCCAAAAACCAGAAAUCAAGGAAAUUUUCUAUGGUCUAGAAACUAGGGUGUUUUAUUCAGUUUGACAAAAACUAUUCUCAAAUCCAAAAUCACUAAGCAGGAGGAGUAGUAUGGCCGGUUCCAGCAUCGCAUGGAGAUACAGUACUCAAAGAUGGAUUAGCGGGUGAAUGCUGGUAUGUACUCGAGAAUAAGGAUAAAAUAAUGCCAUUAUUCAAAACCAAAGUAAAUAACCAUAUGAAAUCUCAUGCAUAUAUAUAUACCAUGCUGGGAAAGGAAAUCGAGUUUAAUAUACAUUUAAAACCUUUGACUGGUUAUGUAGCUUUACCGUCCUAAAACCAUCCACGAGCAAUAUGGGUUCAGCUCCCCUACUGAAAAGGCCCUAGUGAGUGUUAGUCAUACGAACCAAAGAAUAAAACCUGAGAUGACUAGUACUUCUCCAAAAAUAUAAGUGUGACAUGAUGCACACAAUCCUAAGACCAACCUCACAUAGACAAAUAUGAGUUUCCAAUUUUGGUCCCCCCAUGACUGCCACCUUUCAUUGCUUUGCUAACAUAUCCCCUUUAAGCCCAUAUUAAAACCAUUCACAGACAACUAACCAAUUAUUAAGGAGUCCUUUUAAUUAAGCAUUAACCAUUGGUAUCAUCUUACCAAAACUAGAGCUUACAGAAUUAUCCAUUUAUACCUUACCAAAUCCAUUAAACUAAUUUGACUCACAAGCUUCUAAUCAAACCAAAACCAUGUCCAUUAUAACACCCUGGGUUUUGACCCUUAAAAUAUUUACUAGAACUCUGGUCUUUGGAUCUAAUAUGACUCAUGGGUACGAGUCGUAUGAUGGGGUAUGAAUGGUAUGGUCCUAUCAUAUGCUAUCUUAUGUUGGUUGGUGAGAUGGGUUUUAGUUACUGGAAUAGAUACGACUUAGGGGUAUGAGACGUAUUGAUGGGUAUGGAUUAUUUGGUUUCUUAACUUAAUCGUAGACUUGGUUACUUAGGUUGGAUCUAAGUACGAAUGGCUUACCAUGAGCCGUAAGCCAGGGUAUAAGUCGUACUAUUGACUUGUAUGGUCGACAAUGUCUAAAUCUUUCUUGGGUUUAAUAUGUUAGGGGUACAAAAAGUUACUAACAGACCAAUUUCUGUCACUCAUCAUAGAAAUAGUGACAGAAAUAGAUAACUCCUCAUCUAUAUUGUAACUCAUCUUCACAAGUAAAAAUGAUGAUUUUGUUGGGAACUAGUUGAUUAAGAAGUAGGCAUACUUCUCAAUGUUAACUAAUUUAGCAUAGGCAGGCUAUACCAAUAUAGUAGCAAGUGCUUAUCCUUAUCGAAAAUGAUAUGAAGUGACAAAGGACUGGAAGUCCUAAAUAUUCAACUAGACUUUUAUUUUGUUGUUUAAGUUAUGUUGUUCCAGUCUGGGUAGCUACCUCUAGAAAUAUGUGUUUGCAGAAUAGAGAUCGAUCUGUUGCUCUCGUUAUCUAGUUACAUAUUGCAUCUAUAUAAGCCACAUAUUUGAUUUGGUGGGUAACUAAGGGGUACCUUUACAUUUGUUGUGUGCCUUAUUUUUCAAUUUUUGUUUUGCCCUUUGAUUAAUUGCUUGAUCUGAUGGGUGACUGGGGGGUACCUUUACAUCUGUUGAUGGAUUUCUCUUAAAAAGAUUGGAUAUUUUUGUUGGUUUUAGAGAUAUAGUAGUGUAAGUGACAUAUUUUCAAAUAUUUAUUUGAUACACUUUUCUUUCAAGUGCCUUUUUACUGGAAGUUCAAGUAGUGCAAUUGUAGAUUUGUGGAAAAAUAAGUGGAGUAUUGUAUACAAUAAGGUGUGUUUUUGAACUUUCUUUUUGAUUUUUCAUUUUUCUUGCUAUACUUGUUGGAUUAUGUUUGUAACUUAUUUUUGUUAUUAAGCAUAUAACGAUAAAUUUGUUGGUAAAAUAGAAGUAUGUAUCACUUUUAUCUUAUUUUUAUGGUAAACUAAUUUUGUUUACUACUUUGAGCGCAUCACUUUGAAUAAUUUAGUGAAACUUUUAAACUGUCAAUUGAUCUACUUAAUUAUGUUUUCUUUGCUAACUAGUUCUUCAUAUAGAGUCUAAUCAUAGAUUAUCAAAUUUAUUAAUAUGAAUUUCCAACAAGGUUAAUUAUUAAGACUAAUUGUCGCGUUUCUUAUUAAGUUGGUUAAUUAGCACUGAUUAUCCUAUUUUUUUAUUUCAACCUUAAUAGAAACAUGAAUAAUCUAGAGCGUGGUAGGAUGUAUGAGAGUUUAGAUGGCCAAGGGACUUUAUGCUCUAGUUUUAUAAUCGGGGUGGAUAAAUUUAUUCAAUUCGCAUGUUCUCAACAAAAUUUCAUGAGUUGAGACAAAGUUAGAUGUACAUGUGCAAAAUGUCAUAACUAUAAAUUCGUGGAUGUCGAAACUGUUAAAUGUCACCUUUAUCAAUCUGGAUUUGUUGAGAACUAUUUUAUUUUAAAGCAUCAAGGGAAAAUAAAUGGUAUAAAUUGGACUUCUUAUGGUAAUGACUUGCAUGGUAGUGGUCAACCUGUAUUCGAAGAGAAUUCAUACUGACAAAUGAUUUUGGAUGCAGAUGGUCCCAAAUUUUAUCGGGGUUCAAGUUGGCAAUCUUAUAGCAAUAUUGAACCUGAGUCAUCUUAUCCUUUUGAAAAUUCAAUGGAGGAAGAUCCUAGUCCCGUGUCUAAAAAAUUUUAUGAUUUACUAGAUGUUGCUAAUACAGAAUUAUAUCCCGGUUCAUCCCUCUCUCAACUUCCAGUUGUCUCUUAAAUAUUAAAUAUUAAAAUAGAGAAUAAUCUAUCGAUGAGAGUCUAUAACCAGAUAAUGCAAUUGCUUGAUACAAUUGCUUAAAGUGGCUUUACCUAAAGAUAACAUAGUACUUGAUAGCUAUUAUCAGACGAAGAAGCUGGUGUGUAGCUUGGGUUUGCCAGUUGAAAAGAUUGAUUAUUGUGAAUCAAGAUAUAUGUUUUAUUGGGGUGAUGUGAUUAACACUUUACAUCUUGUAAAUUUUGUAGCAAACCAAGGUAUAAGCAUUAUGUUGGCUCUCGAAAGAGUAAGUUGUUCCCUCACAAGAUAAUGUAUUGUUUUCCUUUGAUUCCAAGAUUGCAAAGAUUAUAUGCAUCCCACGCUACAGUUGCCGACAUAAGAUGGCAUGGUGACCCUAAAAAAAAGGAUGGUGUGAUGCUUCAUCCAUCAUAUUCUGGGGCUUGGAAGCACUUUAAUGAAACUCAUCCUUUUUUUGUCGCCAAACCAAGAAAUGUCAGGUUGGGGUUAUGUACGAAUGGUUUUCAACCAUUUAGUUAGUCUGGAAGAAAAUAUUCUUCGUGGCCAGUGAUUGUCACUCCAUACAAUUUACCUCUAUGAAUGUUCAUGAAAGAGGCUUAUAUGUUUUUAACAAUCAUUGUUCCAAGUUCGAGCAAUCCCAAACAUAAAAUUGAUGUUUUUCUGCAACCCCUAAUAAAGGAAUUGACCUUGUUGUGGGAGACAGGUGUAGAAGCAUUUGAAAUCUCAAAAAGGCAAUACUUUCUAUAAUGGCAGCUUUGAUGUGGACAAUUAGUGACUUUCCAGCAUAUUCUAUGUUAUUGGGAUGGAGUACUGUGGGUAAAUUAGCAUGUCCUUAUUGUAUAGAGGAAACACAAUCCUUUAGAUUACAAUAUGGAAGAAAAAAAUCCUGGUUUGAUUUCCACAGAAUACUCCUUAACCAGCAUCACCCAUUUAGGAAAGAUCGAAAGAACUUUUUUAAAGGCCAAACUGUCAAAAGAUCCCCACCAACAUAUAGAAUAAUUUGGGAAAAGAAAUGUAAUUUGUAAUUUGGGGAUAAAAAAUGUAACAGCAUAUUCUAACUCUUUUACAUGUCCAACCACCAAUACAUUUCUUACCUAAACAAAAUUACAUGUAAUUUGCACCUUUCCUCUAUAAGGUAAUACCAAAAUUGGUUGCACUAGGCCCUUUCUCUGACCAUCAACAAAUGCUAUUUUGGACCAAAUUAGGGAUAAUAAAUAUAAUAGAGUUAGAUGCAGAACAAGUUAAUAAAAUAAUAUAUAAGACAUAUGGUUGGAAAAAAUGAAGCAUCUUUUGGGAUUUGCCAUACUGGAGUUCUAACAUGAUAUAACAUAAUCUUGAUGUGAUGCAUUUUGAGAAAACUUUUUUGAUAAUGUAUUUAACACUGUUCUUAAUUUUGAUGACAAAACCAAAGACAAUUCAUUAUCACGUCUAGAUACGGCAAAGUAUUAUGAUCGACCUCAAUUAGGAAAGGAUAGUAAUGGACAAUAUCCAAAAGCUAUUUAUACAUUAUACAAGGAAGCAAGAGCUAUCUUGUUUAAUUGGGUGAAAGGUUUAAAAUUUCCAGAUAGGUAUGUUUCAAAUUUGGGUAGGUUUCUAGACACAAAAGUGAAAAGGUUAUUUGGUAUAAAGAGUAAUGAUUGUCAUGUGUUCAUGCAAUGACUAAUGCCUAUUACUUUACAUAAACUACUUCCUAGUAAUGUGUGGCAGGCACUUAUAGAAUUGAUCUUACUUUGACCACUCUACGAGUGGAUAAUAUGGUGCGAUUAGAGAGAGAUAUUCCAUAAAUUUUGUGAAAGUUAGAAUGUAUAUUUCCUCCUGGGUUCUUUGACUCAAUGGAACAUCUUCCUGUGCACCUACCAUAUGAAGCAAGGAUUGCUCGACCUAUGCAAUAUCGAUGGAUGUAUCCUUUUGUAAGGUAAAUGUGAAACUCUAUGUCAAACUUGUGAUGUUUAAUUAAUACAUAACCCUCCAAACAUAAUGUUCCAUCUUUUUUUGUAUAUAGGUAUUUGGAAACUCUUAAAAAGAUGAUUGGGAAUAAAGCUAGUGUUGAGGGUUCCAUUUGUGAAGCGUACUUGAUAAUGGAGUCAACACAAUUAUUUUCUCAUUAUUUCGAACCUCAUGGCAUAUCACGAAAUCAUAAUAUAGAUCGUAAUAAUGAUGGUGGUGUUGUGGAAGAUCUUAAAGGAAAUCUUUCAAUAUUCUCCCAUCUAGGUCGACUUUGGGGAGAAGUUAAAAAAAAAAGAUUUAACCUUCGAUGAAAUCAAGGCGGCCCAAACUUAUAUUUUACUAAAUUGUGAGGAGGUUGAACCAUUUGUGAGGUAACCAAAUUCUCUUAAUAAUAAUAAAAAAUAUUCUUAUACCAUGACUUCUCUUAUUUAAAUUAUUUUGUUGUAAUGAAGUAUGUACCUGCAAUGUUUGGAAGAAGAAUUUCUGAAUCUCUCUCAAAGUGAAAUAGACGAGAGCCUUGAAGAAAAUUUUGCUAUAUGGUUCAAGGAAUAUAUAAGAUUUAAAUAAAUAUUAACUUUCAUAUGAUGCAUGUACAUAAAUUGGCUUCUCAAAUUUAACUAAAUCUUUGAUUUUUUUAAAUAGGCUCGGUGCAAUCCCAUUAAAAAUAAAUACUUGUGUAGUCUUGUUCAUGGACCAUUAAUAGGAGCUACAUGCCAUUCAAUAUAUUUUGUUAAUAGAUAUAAAUUUCACACAAAAUAUCAUGGUAGUGUGAGAUCAACAAUGAAUAGUGGAGUUUGUAUCUCGGAUCCAAAUUUUAGGGAUUAUUAUGGGCGGAUAAAAGAGAUUAUACAAGUGAAAUACCGUGAAGUACCUUUAAAGCAAACUGUGUUAUUCAAAUACGAAUGGUUUGACCCAACAAUAAAUAUUGGUGUUAAGAAGCAUGAUCGGUACAAAUUGAUUGAUAUUAACCAUCGUCGUCGGUAUGAAAAGUAUGAGCCUUUUAUUCUUGCAAUACAAGCAACUCAAGUAUGUUAUAUACCUUAUCCAAGCAAGAAAAGGGACAAGGAUGAUUGGCUAGCUGUAUUGAAGUUCAAACCUUGAAAUGUUAUUAAAUUAUCAGUUGAGGAAGUGGUGAAAACUUUAGAACUAAAUGUUCCUUUUCAAGUUUAAGAAGUUGAAGUCCAUGAGAUAGAUAUGUCUAUUUCUAUUGAUGGAGAUAUUCUAUUGCAUGAUCCAAAUGGGGGUGUACUUGAAAUGAAUAAACCUCUUAAUGAUGGUUUAUUUGAAGAGCAUCAUGAAAUCCAAGAUGGAUCUACAUAAGAAGAAUAUGAAACUGAGGAAACUGAGGAGGAGGAUGAAGAGAAAGAGUUUGAAGAAGACAUAGAUAGUGACUAGAGCUUGUUAAAAAUCUGCUAUUUUAGGUUUGUUGUGUUUUGUUUUUACUAUUUUUUUCUCCAAAAUAUUAUUAUUUUCUUAGUUUUUGAUUUCCUUUUAAUAAUUUAUUAGUUUUUCAUAUCACAUCAUUUUAAUUUGGUUUUUAAUAGUAAUGAUCUAACGACACCAUUAUUUUGUUUUAGAUAUGACUCAAGGUGGAUAUCAUUUAGGCAAGUCCUCAGGUAGGAGUAAGACUGCUAAUCAUGAAAAUAUUCCUUCUAUUCCAACUCCAGUGAUUGAACAGGAUGAUACAAGUUUCAUCCCUAGCAGUAUGCCAAUCGAUCAAACACUACUACUUAAUAGUACGCCGUCGGAUCAAAUAUUGCGACAAAGAAGUACCCUAGUCAUUCCUGAGACAUCUUCUAUUUCACCUAACCAAAGCAGCCCAACAGGCCAGAAUAUGAAUGCUCAAAGCAACACAGCAGUUGAAGCAACAUCUAGUCAGAGAAAUGUAUCUGUUUUAGGUGAUUCCAGUUGUACCAAUGGUCAGGCCCUUAUUUUUUUAACUUCUUUAGGGUUAGUACUUACUACUUAUUUUUUAUAUAUAUUAGGGAAUGAUAUCGUAAAUGUUUUUGCUGUCUAUUGGUCAUUAUUAGUUGAUAAUCAAUGCCAUGGUCAAAGAUUCUACUCCUAAUUUUUAAGCUAUACUCAUGCAUAUUUUUGUUAAGCAUAUAGAUAUUGAGACUGGUGUGGUUGAUCUACAUUUUAUAGCUAAAGUAAUUCCUUAGUGGAAGUACAAAAAGAAAAAUGUUAAGAGAUGUAUACAUAACAUGUCAAAGUCAUUCAAUUUUGAUUUACAUGUGUUAGUUAAGAUAAACUUCCUAAAUAGCUUUUGGGUUUGCUAUUUUUGUACACAAAUAUUGUGUAGUGUUAUUGGUAUUAGAUUUGAUGUUGUACAGGUUGGAACCUUCUUCCAAAUGCUCCAGUUCCACUACAUUGUCUUUCAAAAGUAAAGUUGAUCCCAAAGGGAUCAACUGAAAAGGUGUCUCAAAAGAUGUCAAAGAUGGUUAUUUUGGAGAAUUCAAGGUAUGUUUUUUAAAAUCAUAAUCGAUAGCAAUUGUUUGAGUUUGCAGCUAACACUUAAUUAUAUUACUUUAAACUGUAUUUCAGAAGAAUUUCUAUUGGGAUACUUUUGUUAGUGAAGUUGUGGUGAAGCAACAAUGGUCGAAGAAGGUUGCAUUAUGCUAUAAGAAUUUAAUUUCUAAUAUAAAAAACGUAGAGCUAUAGUUCAACCAGAAUUUGUAAAUGGCCAUGUGCAGGAAAAGUGGAUGGAACUUUGGAAAAGUUAUGACUGUGUUAAGAAGUCCGAGAUAAAUUCAAAGAACCAUUAUGGUGGAUGUGAAGUAGCUGUUGGGACACACAUAUGUGUCUCUAUCACAGCUGGAGAGUACCGGAAGAAACUUGUAAGUAUAAAUUUCAUGAAUGGUUUUUCAACAUUGAUGAGUAUUGGUGAUUAUUGAUGAGUAUUAAUGAUUGUAAUAAUAUAAUGAGUAUUGGGGAUUGUGUGUUUUAUGUUGUUAGUCUGUGAUGGAGAUUAUUUGGUUUGUUGGUGGCAAUUGAUAGUGUUGGUAGAGAUGAUUAAUUUUUUUUAUAUUAGCGUGUGGUUAUAGCUAGUUGUUGAGGUUGCCAGUGAUGGUUAUCAUAACUAGCUAGAGGUAAAGAACUUAGUUUACAUGAUAGAUUUUGGUUGUUGCUAUGCUAGUUUUUUCUUAUUCUUUUGGUGCUAUAUGUGAUGCUUUGGUCUGCUACUAUGUACCUGGAAAUUGUUGAUUAGUUUCCAGUCAUUUCUUCUCCAUUUUAGUAGCGAUGGUUGUGUCUAAAGUGCAUAGCAAGUAGUUAUCUGUGGUGCUAUUUUGUUUGGGCUGCUGCUAUGCUUGUUUUUCCUCUAUUUGUUGCUAUUGUAUAUGUCAAGAAGCUACUUCUAUAUUUCCUGCAAGAAGUUGGGGCAAGUUUCUCUUUCUUUUUUCUCUUUGUUUUGCUGCUAUAUUUCCUGCAAGUUUCUCUUUCUUUUUUCUCUUUGUUUUGCUGCUAUGCCAAGAAGUUUGGUGACAUUUUCUUGCUUAGAAUAGGGAAAAUAAACUUGGUGGUUGUGUCAUGAAUGGGGCAAAGAAACUUGGUAUGUAUAUGGUGAGCAUUGGAGGAAAAUGAGAAGAAUUAUGACUAUAUUUUUUUGGUUUGCUGCUAUGUACGUUGGUCUAAUUUCUAAAUACCUGAAAAUUCUAUAUAGGCUCUUAAAAUAGGUCGAUAUCCAACUCUAAGUGAGUUAUAUUUGCACGUCCAUACACAUAAUCAUGAUGAAAAAUAUUUAGUUGGUGAGCGUUCCCGACUUCUACAUGGAAGUCCAUAAUUUAUAUCUAAUGAUAUGAUACUCUUCUCUUAUUUUUUUGUAUUGACAUGAACUUGAGUCUAUUUUAAUAACUCCACUUGUUACAGGAAAAGUAUGAAGAAAUUGUAUGGAAAAAAUUACAGCACAAAUCUAAAAUUGAUCAAUUGGAAACAUAUUAUGAAGUUGCGGGAGGAGCAAAGAAGAAAAGAUUAUUUAGUCUUGGGUCUGAAGCUAACAGUUACUUUGGGAAAAAACUUUGUGCCUGUAAAGCGUCCACAUCAUUAGUAUCACCUUCGGUUUCUUUACCAACAAAAAAUUUGGAGUUUGUGAAGCAAUUGAUUUCGACACUUACUACUCAUUUUCUUUCAGUAGUUAUUGAGCAUGUUGGUGGUAUUAGGGUGCAAGAAGGGGCCGUGCUUGAUCCUCCUCCUACUAAUAAUGAUGAUGACGACGUUGAUUCCUAGAUUCAAGGUAUUCGUAUUCCUUGAUCAUUGCAUUAAUUUUUAAUAGACUAUUUUGUGUGGAAGUACAAAACAUUUUUGUAUUAACAAAUACUAAUUUUGAUGGAUGUUGGUUUAACAUUAGUUUAUGUGUGACAAUAUACUUGAAAUUGUGGGUGUUUGGACACAAUUAUUGUGCAUUUUGCUAUCUAUAUGAAUGUUGGUUAUUUUAAUCAUUCUAUAAUUUACGUGUUUUAAUUAUUUUCUUACAAAAUUAUUAGCGACAAAAAUUAGUGAUUAACAUUUGUCAUUGCUACUGAAAAACUUUAGGAACGAAUAAAUUAAGUUGCUAAAGACAACUGUAUUAGAGACACAAAAUUAGUGACUAACUUUUGUCAUUGCUACUGAAAAACUUUAGCGAUGGAUAAAUUUGGUCGCUAAAGAUGGCUACUCAGUCGACCAAACUAUAUUGCAAUAGAUCAGCGACAAAAUAUUCAGUCACAAAUUUAGCCACGACGAAAAUAAAUUUUGGGAAUAGCAACGCUAUAGCAAUGGAAUAAUCUGUCAGUAACAGCAACAACCGAAAUACUUCAUCACUAAGGGGUCACAAAUUUUGUGAUGGAAAUCAAUUUUUCAUCGCUAUGAAGCUAGCAACAAGCAAUAUAGUGAUAGAAGACAAUCUGUUGCUAUUCCAUCACUAUUUCUCUUUAGUGAUGGAUUUUCAUAUGGUAAUGACGAAAUGUGUGUGUCGCUAAAUGCUAUUUUUUUGGUAGUGUUUUAUGAAAUAAGAAAUUCAUAUUAGCAUCUAGGAUAGGGAUGUACAUAGAUACCUUAUUUGAUUCAAAUGUAAGAUGAUAGCUUUAAAGAACUUAAUUGGAUUAUUACAUCCCCGCUCAAUGAUGUAGUUUUAAUGUCCAAAUUAGGUAAACGGUUAGAGGUUGGGAGACCAUGAUCAUUGUAUUUAACUCUACAAAUCUACAACCAAGAUAAGCAAUUUAACAAAUGAAGUUCAAUAACGUGGUAUGAUUGUUCGAAGUUCUUUAACCCUGGGAUUUACCCCAUUGAUUGUUUCAAGACCUUUAUUUUACGCAUUGUUUUCUUUACUUUAUUUUAAGUGUGGGAUAGGGAAAUUCCCAAAUUUUGGGCUCAAUUUAAAAAAAAAUGUAAGAUAUUCGUGUUGGUGCAAUUUUUUAUUAUAUGGUGUAAGUGUUUUAGUUGUAAAGGCAUGUUGAUUGUGCGAAUUACUACUUUUGAGACUCCUGGGCUUAAUUUUGUGACUCGUGUACUUGUGGCUUAAAUUUGAAUUCAUGUUAUUAUUUGGUUGAGUCUAUGAUAGUCUUAUGUGAGUUGAGUAUGUGCCGUGUGUGUGAGGUGUUUUAUAUUCCUUGUUGCAUGUGAUGUCUAAAACUUGUUCGGUGUGUGUAAAAAGAGAAAUAAAGAAUGUGAGUUUAGGAGAUGAUUUAGGCAUUUCUUUGAUAGCCUUGUUUUGUACCGUCUUUCUGACCUACCCAUGGUGCACAAUCCUAGUAAGCCCCAUUGAGCCUUUAGUUUUUUCUUUGGCAGCCUCAUAAGUAACCUAAUUCCUUCUUUGAUAGACCUUAAUUUUCUCUAAAAGCUCUUAAGUGCUUUAGUAUAAAUUAAUUGAGUAAAGAGUGUGAAAUUGAAGAAGAAAAGGUGAAAUUGAAGCCCCAAAGGAAUAGUUAUUGGUCUUUAAAAUUGAUAUGAUAUGGUUGGGAGUGAAAAAUAAAAUUUGUUCUAUACUUUGAAUCAUGAAUAAAUAGAAAAAUCCUCCCACCAUAGUGUAUGUAAAUAAGCUUAAUUAGAUGGAGUAAAAAAAGAAAGGGGUAGACAAAAUUGGUGUAAUUUGGUUGUUGGAGAUUGGUUUUAAUUGUAAAAAGUGAUGUAUUAAAGUGCUUAGGGAAGAUAGUCACUAUUAAGCCAAACUAGUUCCUACCCGUCCCUUAGCCUACAUUACAACCCAGAUGAGACCUAAUUGAUCCUAAAUUCAUCAUUCUAAUAUUAGUGGAGCACUACACUAAGGGAAAGCCUAUGGUUCAUUAUGUGUAACUUAUGAAUUCAUUGUGAGAGUGAGCGUAAAUUGAUUCUUGUACCCAUUGAUUUAUAAUUUGUAUUUAUAUAAGUGAUUAUGCGUAACUCUCUUGUUGUGAGGGCACAUGUUUGAUGAAUGUGAGUGAUUUGUAAUAAUGUCUUGUAUUGAGCAAUUAGCACGAGUUUUCCAACUUGGUGAGCCAAUUCUUGAGACUGAGAUGUUUUGAAGUAGGAUUCUUGAGCUUUUAAUUGUGUAUGUAACAUGCUAAGUAAAGAAACUUGCAUUUUGUGUAAUCAUUGUAGUACUAGCUUAAAUGUCUUACCUGUAGUGGAAGUGUGGAGUCUAUUCAGUUCAUAAUAUUUAUAAUAAAGAAUUGUUCGAGGACGAACAAGGCUUUAAGUAUGGGGUGGUGAUGUUGGGUGUAUUUAUGCAUUCUAGCGUUACUAUUCUAGCCUAUUUAGCCUUAUUUUGAGGAUGAUUCAUGUUCUUAAUGUGUUGAUAAUGAGAUAAAUAUGCAUCUAAGUGUCCAUUUAUGUGUUUACAAUGUUUAAUGGUGUUUUCACAUGAGUUUUGAUUCAAAUUGAUCAUUUGGAAUUCAACCGAGAAAACUAGUGUGACUAGCUUGAGCUAGGUGUUUGUCUAGUCUAUCAUGUUGGGUUCUAAUGUGUUUAAUGAGUUCUUAAUAUUGUUAUUGUGUAUUUAUAUGUGAAAUAACUUGGUUAUAAUUUUCAAGGGUCAAUUGGAUCAAUAUAAGAGUCAAAACAAUAAGCUUAAGAUCAAUAUGGGCAAGCCUAGUCUUAGCUCGUGUUUCUAGUUCACCGUCUUGGAUGUUGUGUUGUUUUGAGCUCUAAAUUGUUGUGUCUAAUGCUAUAGGAUGCUUGGUGAAUGAAUUAUGAUGAUAUAUAAAGGAUAUACAAGCUUCAAAUCAAGUGGAAACAACUCAAAAAGGCUCAGAAUGGAUCAACGAAGCAUAAUACACAAACUUGACGCCAUUUGGAUACCUGGAAUGUCCAAGGCACGUGAGGACUUUGGGAAUGUCCUAUUGACCCGUGCAACACAGCAAAUUUCAGAAAGGGCCCAAAACAGUGACCCACCACCGCUAUAUGGUCCUAAUAGCGAUGAAGGAGGCAUCGCAUCGCAGUAAUAAGCCAAUCGGCAAUUGUCAACUUUCAGAAUCUCACCGCAAUUACACUAUUUCGUAGACAAAUAGAGAUGAGCAUUAAAAGUGGGAAAUUAUGCCCAGCUAGAAAAUAACAACAUGGAAACCUAAUCCCAUUCGGUUUAUGACUUGUCUACUAUAAAUAUAAUGUCUUAAAUUCCGUUUUGGACAUCUUGGAAGACCCUAGAUCAACUUGGAAAUCAUUGGAGGCUACCACAACUUCUUUUUAGGUUUUUAUUAUUUAAUUUAUCUUUCUUUUAUGGUUUUAAUCGUUCAUACAAUUAGUUGGAUGUUGAUUAUAUCUAUGAGUGGCUAAAAACUCCCUUUCCGAGGUUAAAGCCAAGAGCAUGAGUACUAUUAUUUUGAAUUAAUUUUGUUUAAUUUUUUUAUUAUUAUUGGUUAUUUGUUUAUUCUUGAUUUAACUAUUUGAUGGAUUAAUCACCCGAAAAAUACAUUUAUUGUCAUCCUUGUAUUCUCAGGAUAAGGAAUAAGGAGAUAGAACAUGGGAAUGAACAAAGUAUGGUUUGUAUUAUUUUAUGAAAUAAGGAAUUCAAAUUAGCGUCUAGGACAGGGAUGUACUUAGAUGUCUUACUUGAUUCAAACGUAGGAUGAUAUCUUUAAAGAACUUAAUUGGAUUAUUACAUCCCUGCUCAAUAAUGUAGUUGUAAUGUCUAAAUUAGGUAAAUAGUUAGAGGUUGGGAGACCAUGAUUAUUGCAUUUAACCCUACGAAUCUACAACCAAGAUAAGCAAUUUAAUGAAUGAAGUUUAAUAACGUGGUAUGACUACUUGAAGUACUUUAACACUGGGCUUUACUCCAUUGAUUAUUUCAAAACCUUUAUUUUAUGCAUUUUUUCCUUUACUUUGUUUUACAAAUAUUCAAAACCCUAUUUUGGCUAUGCUUGCAUCAAUUUAAUCUAAAUUAUAAACUACAAUCAAAUAGUUAUGAGAUCAAGUCCCUGUGGGAUCAAUACUUGGCUUUCUUUAAGGUCACUUUACUACUUGAUAGACCAUGUACACUUGUGUGUUCGCUUGGGCACUAUCAAUUUCCCAUUCGAAUUUUAUUACUCUUUUGGUUAGAGGUUUUGUGGUACUACUAUGGGCUGGAAUAGGCGGUAUUGGUAUUUGUGUAGUCCUUGGCAUUAAAAUAAGAUGGUGGGUUGACAUCUUUGGACAUAAUUUCUCAUUGUUCUAUCGUGUUUUAUUUUGAGAUUAAUUAUAUUAUGUUUUGGAACUUAUUUUGUUAUGGCCUGGUUUAUAGCCUUUGGAAUAAUUUGGUACGGUUGGACGGUUAGGCGGUUAGGCAGUUGGUGUAGGAUAGUUGGACUCAGUUGGGUUAGUCAAGGUUGUGAACCUAUCCCAGAGUCUUCAUGUGAGCUAUUACACUCUCUUUUUAUUUGCUCAAAAUUCAACCAAAUCAGGAUAGGCGGUUGGAAUUUGGGUUGGGUAACGGGGGUGGUCUCUAUCCCGAUAGAACCUGGGAUGCCUAUUAAGACAAGGCCCCCGGUCGGGUCAUGUCAAGUUAAUAUCAAAGCCUAGGUUCAUGUUCAAUCAGGAGUUCACAAAGCCGUGUCGAGUAGAGUAUCUUUUAGGGGUGUGUAGCAUGUCACACUCAUAAGAAAGAGACUACAAGGCAUUUAGGAAUGUCUCACUUUCUUGGUAUUCAAUUUUUAAGAUUGGAGUAUCAGUCCUGGAAUCUUCUUUAAUCCUUAUUUGUUCGUCUUUCAGAUCAUGCCUCUUAGAUCUGAAACACAAGAAAAUUCUUUUAUUCCAUUUGGGGUAAUGCUGAAGGGGUGUAUCCUACUUUGGGGUUCAUCUUCGAUCUGGCAGUCCUAUCCCUGAUAGUUUUGGAGUUCCACUGGGGUCUACUGUCCUCCUCAAGGCGAGGUGACUAAUGCAAAAUUUUUUCAGCCUAUUUAUGUUAUUUCUCGGAUGGUCAUUGCUCAGGUUUAGUGAGGUGCGACUGGUUCUUUGUCUGCUGAGGCCACAAGGGUUAGCCAAUUUAUAAAGAUGGGUCCUCCUAUUUUUUUGGAUUGAAGAUGGAAGAAGGUCCAUGAGGAUUUUUUGAUAAAAUAGAAAAGAUAUUUCGGGUGAUGCAGGCUACCAAUGUGAAGGGAUAUGCUUUGCAGCUUAUCAGCUCAAAGAUGUUGCAUAUCAAUGGUAUAAAGAGUAGGAUAGGGAUAGGGGUGAUAUGGAAGAAUCAUUCUUGUGGGAUAUUUUUUCUAAGGACUUCUUAGAUUAUUUUUUUCCCCAAGAGUUAAGGGAAGCAAAGAUGGAAGAGUUUGUGAACCUCAAGUAGGGAAGGAUGUCUGUCAAGGAAUAUGCCUUAAAGUUUCACCAAUUGUUAAGGUAUGAUCCCAAUUUAGUAGCUGACAUACAGGCAAGAAUGAGGAAGUUCUCCUCUGGGUUAAUCAAGUUUUCAUUUUGGAGAGCAAGAAUAUAUUGAUGAUUAAAGAUAUAGCAUCUCUCGAUUGACUAUUCAUAUAAAGUAAGUGAAGAAUGAAAAGAGAAAGCAGAUGGAGCUUGGAGAUAGACAGAGUAAGAGGAGUAGGUUUUUUUACCAGGGAGGUGCUCAGUCUCAGGGUGGUCAGGAUGGUGGCAAAUGGCAGAAAAAGAAGUGGGGGAAUUCUAGUUCCUUCUCUUCUUUUAGUGAUCCUUAUCAGACGGGCGACAAGCAUUAUUCAGGUGGUGAUAAUUUUUAGGUAUAGGGUACCCAAUAUCAAGCAAUAGAGGUCAGUUAGUAUUUUUAUGCCAUCCUUGUCGGUUCUGUAGUCGUCCUCAUUGAGGUUAUUGUGAUAAAAUAAGGGGAAAUUCUUUAAGUGUGGCCAGGCAGUCCAACGGCUCAGGGAUUUUCAAAUUAAUAAGGUUGUUAUGGGGUCGACUAAGAUUCAUAUGGCUUCAUCUUCUGCUCCUACACCUGGUGGUGUUGUAUUUACUUUUGUUACUACUCUUGUUCUAGUAUUGGUCAGAAUAAGUUGUGUUCUUUGGCGUCCUGAUAGGAAUCCGAGGCGUCACUUGAUGUCAUUACUGGUACAUUACAAUUUUUUUCUUAUGACGUGUAUUUCUUACUUGAUCUGGGGUCCACUCUCUCCUAUGUGAAUCCUUAUAUGGUUGUAUCUUUUGGUUUUGAUCCGAAAGUUAUUUCGAAUCCUUUUUCUAUUUCUACCUCAGUAGGUGACUCAGUUAUUGCUAUGAGAGUCUAUAGGGUGUGUGUGGUAUCUGUGGGUGGAAAGCAAACCUUAGUGUAUUUCAAUGUUAUUCUAGGUAUGGAUUGGUUGCACUUCUAUUACGUGUCCUUGGAUUGUCAGACCUAUUGGGUUAUCUCUAGGUUCCCUGGUGAGCCAAUUAUAGAAUGGAAGGGUGGUUCUUUAGCUCCUAGGGGGAGAUUUAUUUCAUAUCUUAGAGCACGGAGGAUAAUCUCCAAAGGUUGUCUUUAUUACAUGGUCUGGGUUAAAAAUUCUAACUCGCAAGGUCCUUCUUUCCCGUCAGUUCUAGUGGUUAAUAAGUUUCCAGAGGUUUUUUUGGAUAAUCUUCCUGGGGUUCCUCUAGAUAGGGAAAUCAAGUUUGGUAUUGAUCUAGUUCUGAACACUCAUCCAAUUCAUAUUUCUUUGUAUAGAAUGGCUCCGACUGACUUGAGAAAACUCAAGAAGCAACUUAAGGAUCUUCUGGAUAAGGGGUUUAUUCGUCCUAGUGUAACUCGGUGGGGUGCACCGGUGUUGUUUGUCAGCAAGAAGGAUGGUUCCCUUCGGAUGUGCAUUGACUAUAGGCAAUUAAACAAGGUGACAAUCAAGAACAAAUAUCCUCUUCUAAGGAUGGAUGAUCUAUUUAACCAGUUGCAAGUUGCCAUGUUCUUUUCUAAGAUAGAUCUUCGGUCUGGGUACCAUAAGCUAAAGAUUAAGGUGGUGGAUAUUCGUAAGAUAGCUUUUCGUACUUUAUGCGCACUUUGAGUUUUUGGUAAUGUCAUUUGGGUUGACUAAUGCUCCGACGGUAUUUAUGGAUCUAAUGAACAGGGUUUUUCAUUAGUAUUUGGAUCUGUUUAUUAUUGUGUUUAUUGAUGACAUUCUGGUUUAUUCAAAGAGUGAGGUAGAUCAUGCUAAUCACCUCCAUGUGGUGUUGCACACCUUAAAAGAACAAAAGUGGUAUGCCAAGUCCUCUAAAUAUGAGUUUUGGUUGAAUGUUAUAACUUUCUGGGGUCACAUUAUUUUUAGUGAGGGGAUUAUAGUGGAUCCGCAAAAGUUUGUUGUGUUGAAGAAGUGGCCUAGACCCAUAACUCUCUGAUAUUCGAAUUUUUUUGGGUUUAGCUGGGUAUUAUAGGAAGUUUGUGGAAAGCUUUUCAUUUAUGGCUGCUCCUUUGACUAAGUUGACUCAGAAGAAGUUUAAGCUUUCUUGGUCGGAUGCUUAUAAAGGGAGUUUUGAGAAGUUGAAGGAUAAGCUAACUUUGGCUCCAAUUCUGACCUUAUCAGAAGGCAAUGAUGGGUUUGUGGUUUAUUAUUAUGCAUUCGGGUAGGGCUUAGUUGUGUAUUGAUGCAACAUGAGAAGGUGAUUGCCUAUGCUUUUGGGCAGUUGAAAGUACAUAAAAGGAAUUAUCCUACUCAUAAUUUGAAGUUGUUGGCGGUUGUGUGUGCUUUGAAAAUAUGGUGGCAUUAUUUGUAUGGUGUUCACAUAGAUAUCUUUUCUGAUCAUAAGAGUCUACAAUAUGUGUUCACUCAGAAGGAGCUUAAUCUCAGGCAGAGGAGAUGGCUUGAGCUUCUCAAGGACUACGAUAUGAGUCUUCACUACCACCCAGGUAAAGUUAACGUGGUUGUUGAUGCACUUAGCAGGUUAUCCAUGGGGAGUUUGGCUCAUGUGGAGAAAGAAAAUCGAGAAUUAGUGAAGGAUAUUCACUGUUUGGCCUACCUUUGAGUUUGCCUCUUGGACUUCAAAAAUGGUGGUGUGAUGGUCCAAGAAGUGGUUCGAUCGUCUCUUGGUGCGGAGAUUAAAGAGAAGCAAGUGCUAAACCCUGUCUUGAUGAAAAUCAAGAGUGACGUUGGUAGGAAAAAGGUAGUGGCGUUUGAGAUCAGUGGUGAUAGUACUUUACGGUACCAAGGGAGGUUGUGUGUUCCUGAUGUCAAUAGAUUACACAAAGAAUUUUGGCUGAGGCAUAUGAAUCACGCUAUGUUGUUCAUCCCGGCUCGACAAAGAUGUAUCAUGAUCUCCUAUUGGUUGGUUAGAGCUUGGGAAGAUGGAUAUGUUUGGUCCCGACUUAGUUUACUAGGCUAUUGCGAAGGUGAAGGUGAUCCAAGAUAGGCUUAAGGCGGCCCCACGUUACGAAAGUCCUAUCUAGAUGUUAGGCGUGGAGACUUGGAGUUUGUGGUUAGGGAUAAGGCUUUCCUCAAGGUAUCUCCCAUGAAGAAAGUAAUGUGAUUUGGCAAGAAGGGGAAGCUCAGUCUUCGGUAUAUUGGUCCUUAUGAGGUUUUGCGGAGAGUAGGUAAUAUUACUUAUGAGCUGGAGUUCCCUUCUAUCUUGAGCUUGGUUCAUCCGGUCUUUCAUGUUUCUAUAUUGAGGAAGUGCAUUGGUGAUCCUUCUUCAGUAGUUCCUUUAGAAGGAUUGGGUAUCACGAACUUUCUUUCUUAUGAGGAAAUCACGAUUGAGAACUUGGAUAGGCAGGUUCGUCAGUUGCGAACCAAGGAUGUUGCCUCGAUUAAGAUUCUAUGGCAGAACCACAAGGUGGAAGAGGCUACUUGGGAAGUAGAGGAGGACAUAAAUUCCAAAUAUCCACUUUUAUUUUCUGCUCCUGGGAUUCGUGUGGAAGGUAUGCGUCUUGAACACAUCUUUAUUUUGUGAGUUUGUUAAAGGAAAGAUUAAUAUCUUUGCCUCUUUAUUUUCAAACUUUGUUAAAGAUUAGGAAUAUAUUUGAUAAUACAAAUAACUCGUGUGUGUGGUUACCCCUACCUUGUCCGUCAUUCGGGGAUGAAUGUUCCUAGUUGGGGAGACUAUAACACCCUGGGUUUUGACCAUUAGAAAUUUCUUGGAAUUCUGAUCUCUAGACCCAACACGACUCAUGGGUACGAUCUAUAUAUUGGGGUACGAAUGGUAUGGUCCUGUUGUAUGCUGACCAGUGUUGGUAGGUGAGAUGGGUUCGGUUACUGGAAUGGAUACGACUUAGGGGUACAAGUUGUAUUUUAGGUACGGAUCAUUUGGUUCCUUAAUAUUAGACUUGGUUACUUAGGUUGGAUCCGAGUACGAGUGGCUCACAGUGAGCUGUAAGCCAGGGUAUGAGUCAUACCAUGGACUUGUAUGGUGGACAGUGUCUAAAUCUUUCUUGGGUUUAAUAUUCCAGGGGUAUGGAUGAAGGGUAUGGAUCGCAUGCUUCGGAUAUGACUUGGUUGGAUGAGUCAUGUGCUGGACAGUGUUAGAUCCAAAGGUUGAAGCUAAGAUACGAGUGGAGGGUACCAAUCAUAUUGGAGGGUACGACUCGUGAGGGUCAGUCGUACCCCUGGGAUGGGAUUUUGUACAACUUAAGUUGGGGUAUUUUGGAUAUUUUACCACUUAUCCUAAUAAGGUCCCGCGACUUCUAACCUACUUGGGAGGUUAUUUAUCCUAUUAUUCCAUUCAUUAACACUUAGAAACUCUUCUAAAACACUUUAUAAUUCUCUCAAAAUCUUUUAGGUAAGGGAAGCUAGGGUUUUAACUAGAGGAUUAAUUUGGGGCUUGUCGUGGUGAUCUCUUUCCAUCAUCAUCUUGGUUUAAGGCAUGUUUUCUUUCCACGUUAUUAAUUCUAUCUAGAAGCAUGGUUUUUAUGAAUGUUUUCAUGACUUCAUUGAUUGUAUGAUUUUUGUUUUCAACUAUGAUUUGGGGGUUUUAUAUUAAAUGGUUGGUUAUGGUUUCCCGUGGUUUUAAUUAUGCUUUAUGUGCAUUAAUGGUAGUUUUGGAUAAUUGAAUUGAAUAGGAAUGAUUUAAGGGUAAUUGGAAUUAGUUUUGGUUAUAUUAUGCCCCCAAUGUGUUUGACAAAAUGUCUAUAAUAAUGUUUUCAUUUCAUUGAUUAGUUUUAAUGGAACUCUUGCUUGUUUUAAAACUUGGUAAAGUAAUUAUGCAUGGUUUAAAUGUCUUGGAAAGGUAAAUGGCUAAAUGUUUUUGCUUGUGGGGUACAUGGAAUCCCCCAAGUGGUUUUAUAUGGUAAAUGGAAGGGCAUUUGGAAGUCCCUUAAACCUAUAUAUGGUUAGCUAUGGAUAGUGCUUGCAAGUAUGGUCGAUAUGAUGAUCCACCACUAAAUAGCCUUGGUUAAUAAAUGAUAAAUGGAUUAAUUGGUUUCUUAGAGAUGGUUUUAGUUAGGGAAAUAAUGGCAGGAUGUGUAGAAAAGCCGUGGAAGGUGGAGGACCUAGGGAGACCAAAACUGGAAACUCAUAUUUGCCGAUGUGAGGUUUGAUCUUGGUGACCGUGUACAUGAUGUCACACUAUAUUUUGGGGGAUGUACUAGUCAUCUCAAGUUUUCUUCCCUGGUCAUGCGACUACACGCAUUGGGGCCCUUUUAGCAGGGGGAGCUGAACCCAUAUAGCCCGUGGGUGGAUUUGGACGGCAAAGCUACACAGCCGACGUGAAGUUUUUAAUGGCAUACUAAAACCGGUCCCAUUUCCCAGCAUGGUUAUAUAUAUAUAAGUAUUAUUUUAUGCAUAUGGAUGCUUUUACGUGGUUUUAUAAAUGGCAUUAUUUUAUUCUUACCUGAGAUCAUGCUAGCGUUCACCCGCUAACCCGUCUACUGGCGGCUGUAUACCCACGCUAUGCAGGAACCAGUCGUUCUACUCCUCCUACAUAGUGAUUGACUCAGGGAUCAGAAUUUGGAUUGAAGUAGUCAGCUUCCAUCCUUUCGAAAGGCUACAUUUCAUGUUAUGGAUAUUUCUAGACACUUUGAUUUUAUUUUGAAUAUUAGUUUUGGCCAUGGUUGAGGGUAUGUCCCAACCGGAUUGUAUUACUCUUUUAGUUAGAGGCUUUGUGGUACUGCUAUGGGCUGGAAUGGGCGGGAUCGGUAUUAGUGUCAGCCUUGGCAUUAGAAUAAGCUGGUGAGCUGACAUCAUUGGACAUAAUUUCUCAUUGUUCCAUCGUAUAUUAUUUUGGGAUUAAUUAUACUAUGUUUUGAAAAAAAUUUUGUUAUGGUCUGGUUUAUGGCCUUUGGAAUGGAGUGGUACGGUUGGGUGGUUGGUGUGGGAUAGUUGGACUCGAUUGGGUCAGUCACGGUUGUGAUCCUAUUCCAGAGUCUUCAUGUGAGUUGUUACACUAUCUUAUUAUAUGCUCGAAAUUUAGCCAACUUAGGAAAGGCGGCUGGAGGUUGGGUUGGGUAAUUGGGGUAGUCUUCGGUCCUGGUUGAACCAAGGACUCCCAUUACGACAAGGCCCCUAGUUGGGUCGUGUCAAUCAUCAAAGCCUUACCAAACCAUUUAAAACCAACCAAACUAAUUUAAGUUCCAUUACCAUAUUAUGCAAUGCAAAGAUUUUAAUAAUAGUCAAAUUAUGUGAUAAAAGCAUUCUCAUUGUCAUUUUAACAAACAUGUUGAGGGCAUAUAGUUUCCAAAACCAAAAACAAGUAUCAAUUGACCAUUCCCAUGAAAUGACAUAUUCAAAUCAUAAUUAUAACAUGAAAAACCAUAAUUAAAACAUAGGAAAAUGUUAUCUAACCAUAAAACAACCAAAACCCCCAACAUCUAUUUCAAAACCCAAAAUAGUACCACAAUAGUACCAUGAAAAUCAUUCACUAAAAUAUGUUUUUAGUUGAACUAACAAAGCGGGAGGAGUAACAUGCCUUAUAAAACAAAGAAGACGGAGAAAAAUCACCCCUUUGAGCCUUAAUGGAUUGCCUUGAAGAAAACCCUAGUCUUCCUUGCACCAAGAGCUUGAGAGAGGUUUGAGAGUGUUUAGAGAGUGUUUGAUUAUUAAUAAUAGGUUAAGGCCCUAUUUGUUUACACUUAUUGGAGAUUUGAAUCUGAAUGGUUCAGACUUCAGCCCGUUAAGUGCAUUUGUUUUUUUUAAAGAGCCUCUUAAUGUAUUUGAAAACAUCUGAAUGGAUCAAAUAUGAAAAGAAGUCUGAAUAGCAUUCAGACUCUUUUUAAAACAUAAUCCCUAACUCUCUCACUUCAUUAUUUCCUCUCUCUUUUCAUGUUAUCUCUCUUCUUCUCUUUUUACAUUAUCCCUCCCUCUGUUCACGUUUCUAUCUCUCUCUUUCUUUUUCUUCACUUGCUUUCCUUCUCUUUUAGGUAUCAUUCACCAAAUUUUUUUAUAAAUAUUUUAGUUAUUAAUUUGUGUAUUCAUUAUUUGCUAAACUCUAAAUUUCUGCUUGCAUUUUUUGUUUUGAUUAUAAAAUUUGUACUUCCUCCAUUUUAAAAAGAAUGACCUACUUUGACUUGGCACAAAGUUUAAGAAAAUAAGGAAAACUUUUGAAUCUAGUGGCCUUGAAUUAAAGUUGUGUCAAAUGUACCAAAAUACUCUUUAAUCUUGUGGUCCUAAACAUGCCACGUGGAAAGGUAAAAUUAAAGUAUUGCCAAAAAGGGAAAUGGGUCAUUCUUUUUUAAACGGACUAAAAAGGAAAGCAGAUCAUUCUUUUUUAAACGGAGGGAGUAAUUCUUUGGAUAAUAGAAUCUUAUGUGUGCCUGUUCAUAACGUAACAUUGAACUUACUAAUGAUAUUUUCACCCAGCUUUCAUGGUUAACAAAUAAACAUGUGUCCGUUUUGUAUUAACUAGUUUUUCAAAUACUUUAAUAUUUAUACAUCUAAGUCAAAAUUAUAUCUGAUUAAUUAUUUUAGUUUGUUGGAUCAGUUUAAUUGAUAGAUUACUUUAUGUUGAAUUUAAUUUUUUAUAAUUACAUCAUAUCACAAUAAUUUUUUAUCAUUAUAUCCCUUUUUAAUAAUUUAAAUAAUUCAAUAAUUAUAUUUAACAUAAUAUAUUUAUCUUUAAAUAUUUUAAUUAUCACUCAAAUAGUAAUUUUGUUGUUUAAGUUAAUACUUUAUGUAAUAUUUUUUUCACAUAAUAUAAUAUUUUAUUACUUUUUAAAUUUGAAUUGCAUAUUUAUUACAAAUAAAUAAAUUACAUAUAUUUAGAUGUUAAAAAACAAACAGUCUUAAUCAUUCAGUAUUUAGAUCUAGAUACAACAUCUUAAUUAUUCAGAUAUCCAUUCAGAUUCAGACGUCUUAAUCUUGAAAAAAAACAAAUGCACCCUAAGAAAGCCUCCAAAGGUGUUUUAUGUUGCGGGGUCCAAAGGAGUUAUUAGGGAGAAAUAUCCAAAAUACCCCCAACUUAAACUCCUCAACUCGUAUCUACAUCAUACAAGAGGUACCCUCUACUCGUAUCUUGAUCAGAAAGUUGGAAACCACAUUUUGUCUAACAUACAACUCCUUAGCCUAACUCAUACCAUCACCAUACGACAAGUACCCUUCAACUCGUACCCUAAGCAGAACAUCAGGUCUAGACACUGUACAAUAUACGGUUGGACACUAUACUCCUCGUAUCUUCAACACACGACUCGUAUCGAGUCUUCUCGUACCUUGGACAGAACUUUGCCAAUAUCACACUGACCAACAUACGACUAGGGUUCCUAGACCUAUACCCACACCAUACGAAAAGUAUGGUAAGUCAUAUGAUCAACAGAAGGCUCAAAACCCAAGAAAUUUCCAAGGGUUAAAACCCAGGGUGUUUCAAUUUAGGCGUGUACAUGUUUGUUUUCAGGAGAUUUAGAUUGUUUGUUAAUUUGUAAUACUGAAAUUCUCAAUUUUACAAUGUUAUUUAGAUUUAUGUAUUUCCCUUUUGAAAUAUCCCAUAUUGCACCAAAUACCCUCACCAUCGACUUUUAUUGCUUGUGAGACUCCUAUGUUUGUACAAAUUCAUAAGUUAAUUUUUGUAUCUAGAGUCAGUGAGUUCAGAAUGAAUGUAGCCUUAUUAUAUUUAUAUAUAUAUUUUGAAUUUUCUUGUUGCAUAUAUAUACAUAUUCUGCAACAAAAGCAUUAGGUUCAGUUGAACCCAUAGAACCCGCCUUAGAUUUGCGUUUGCUUGUAUGGAAGAUGUGAAAACAGGGGAAGAUACAUUGUAUUAUUAUGGAGUAGGUGUAGAACCUUGAAUCAAAUAUCAGUAAGAGUUAUUAAUUUAUAAUUAUAAAUAGAAGUUAUUUUUUAACAACUAUAUGUCUCGGUCCUAUAUAAGUUGGGUUUGGCUAUAUGAAUGCUCACCGACUUCAAUAUUCCAUCCAAACUUUUGAAAGAUUUGAGGUAGAAGAAAAUUUACCUCUCAAACAUCAAUAGUCGUGAUUAAGACUAGCAACGGAACCGAAAAAUUCCGUUCCGGUCCAUCAACUCCAUUUCUGGUUUGGUUCCGGUACCGGUAACACAACGGUACCGGUAGCCAAUGGUUUGAAAUACGUUACCGAUGCGAACCUUCAAAAAAUUCUAAUAUUUCCGGUUCUGGUUGACCGGUUUCGGUCUGUCAAAUGCGUUAAAUUUUCCCUUCAUUUUUUAAUUGGGUUGGUAUUUGUAAGACUGCCAACGGCUCUUUAGGCCGUUGCAAACACCCCUCUCCCUUCCCAAUUAACCCACACCACCCCUUAAAAUUUUCACUAUAAAUAUCCUUCAUUUCAAUUCUUUUUUUCACACAAAUAUUCUCAAUUCUCAUACUCUCUCUUAAUAUUCUCACAUUCUCUCUAAAUAUUUAUAAUUAUUAUAUUAAUUGGAGUUGAAGAUUUUUUUGAAGAUAUUACAAGCUUCUAUUUUCAUCUUUUAAUUCCGAUAUUUCGUAUACAUCUGCUUUUACGCAGACGUUCUAUAUAUUCAUUCCAACUUUAAUCUCUUUUUAUUUACGUUAAUAUCUAUAUUUUUAUUUUUUAGUAUCUACAUUUGUUUACUUACAUUAUUUUUUUAAUUUAUAAUAUUUGUAUUGUUUGCUUUAAUAUUUUAAUUUUAGUUAUGGAUUCCGGAAAAAUAAGUAGUGGUAAAAAUUCAAUCUUUGAUAAGAUUUUUCGUAGAAAUAAAAAAAGUAAGGCUACUACAAGUUCAUUCCGCCUAGAUUUAAUGAAACUUCUUUAUCACAGUCUAAUGAUUUCGACGUUGGUAUCGAUAUGGAAUUAGAUCAUGAGACCCUAAGUAGGCGUUAUGAUAAUUUUGAGGAAGACUUACCGGAAGAAGAUGAUAUAGAAGAACAAGAGUUAGGUGAUACCCCUACCCCUACUAGUUUGGUUACGAAAUUACCGGAACACGGUGAAGAACUUUUCCCUUUACCAAAAUUUACUAGGGUCAAAGGUACCGAACGUACUAAAAGGUCUUUAGUUUGGAAAUUUAUGGAGCAUGAUAGGGUAAAAAGUAUUGCUACUUGCAAUAAAUGCAAGAAACAUUUGACCGGGGGAAAAAUGACGGGACAGGGUUGCUAACUGCGCAUUUGAUGAAAUGUAAUAAAGAAUUUAUUCGUCUAAAAAAUGAGACUAAGACAAAAAAAGAUGGUACACCAUUUGUGCAUGAAUCUGUAGGAGGAAAUAUGGUUCAAACACGUUUAGACAUGUUUAACCCGGCUGGCCCAAGUUCAUCAUCGACAUAUAGUGAAGAUGUAGAUAGAGAAGAACUAGCGAAAAUGGUCGUUGUUAUGGGUUUGUCUUUUAGUUUUCCUUCACAUCCCAGUUUUAUUCAUUAUAUUCAACGAGUAUAUAAUUCCUCUUUUAAAGGUUUUUCACAAAAUACAAUUAAAAAUAAUAUUUUUAAAUUUCAAGCUGAACACUGCCAUUUCUUCGUUGCUUAUUUGAUAAAUUUGAUGGUAGAAUAUCUGUUACUUCUGAUAUGGGUUGUAGUGUUGUCGGUAAUGAUUAUUUUACUCUCACAGCUCAUUGAAUUAAUCACGAUUGGAACAUGCAAAAAAAAAUUAUUGCUUAUAAAUAUAUUGACGAGUCUAAAACCGGUAUGUAUAUAGCUAGUACAAUAACGGAGAGCAUGAAAUAUUUUAGAUUUAUUGGUAAACCUAUGGCAUGCACAUUAGAUCAUGCUUCUAAUAAUUUGAAAGCUAUUGACGAGUUAAAAAGUAGAUUAUGUUCUAUGGAUGAAGAUCAUUUUCAUGUUAGAUGUACUGCACAUAUUUUAAAUUUAAUAGUACAUGAUGGUGUUUAUUUGUUUGAAAAUAAUUGUUGUAAAGUUCGAAUUGCUUGUAGUUAUAUAUUUUUUUUUUUUUAAAAAAGGAUGUAAUGGUGAUUAUAAAUCUAAAUGUAAACAAUGUGACCUUCUAUAUAGAAAAGUUCCAAAAGAAAUUCCUACUAGAUAGAAUUCUUUGUUUCAAAUACUUGAAGUUGCUUUUAUAUAUCGUAAACCUAUACAAUUAGUUUAUAAUGCUUAUAAUGAGGAUGUUAAUUUAAUGCUAGAUGAAGAUGAUUGGACUGAUGUAGAAGAACUUUGUAAAUUUUUGAAAACUUUUCAUCAAGCUACGAACACAGUAUCUUCUCAAUAUACUCUAACUAUUUCUUCUGUUUUAGUAACUAUUACUGCUAUUUCUAAAGUAUUUGCUGAAUAUAAAAAAUUAUGCCCUUACAAAGAGGAAAUUGAAGUUAUGUUUGAUAAAUUUAAAAAAAUAUUAUUUUCCUAUUCCACAAUUUUUUUUGACAACUAAUUUAUUCAACCCAUUUUAUAAAGAAUAUGGUACAGUGAUGUUGGUUAAAAAAUUAUACAACAAUUUAGAAAUUGCACCUCAUGAAAAGUCAUCAGUUGACACUUGUUGUGCUAACAUAGUACCUAAAGCUAGGAGUUUAUAUAACUUGUAUUAAGUUAUAGAAUAAAAUAUUGGGUCGAUCGAACCUCUUCCUUUUAGACGUAGAUAUGAUGAUUUAGAUGACGAGAUGGGUGAAGAACUUGGUCUUCAAUGUUGUAGGAGUAAUGAUUUUGAUUCGUAUCUUUCGCAGGAUCGAAAAAGUAUUAGAGAUGAAACUGGAAAACAACAACUUUUAUCAUGGUGGAAGACCCGUAUCAGACAAUUUCCAAAACUUUCAAGGAUGGUCCGAGAUUUGCUAUCAACUCAAACUUCUUUAGUUGCUUCGGAACAAGCUUUUAGCACAGGAAAAUUUAUAAUAAGAGAUCAUCGAUAUUCGUUAGCAAGGGAUAGUUUGAAGAUUUCGAUAUUAUUUAGAUAUUGGAUCAAUGUCGAACGAAGAAAUUUUGGGCUCUCCAAAUUACCGGCCCAUGUUGAAGACGAAAUAGAUGAAAUUUUUGAGGUAAAUAGUGAUGAUGGAAUGGAAGCAAUGAAGGAACAAGAAAAAAGACCAAUUCCGGAAGAUUUAUCCGCCGAAGAAAUAGAAAAGUUACGCCAAAAAUAUUAUAGACAAUUAGAUAUUAAUAAGAGUCUACAAUAAAGAUCUAAUUCAAAAAGAACACUUCCUAGAAGGUGACUGCGUAGAUUAGAUUUUCUUUUAAUAUCUUUGUAAUAAAUGUACAACGUAUGAAAUUUGAAUAAAUAUAACGGCUAUUCGCCUAAUUUUAUUUUAAAAUUUGUCUUUUGUUUGUUGCAAUUAUGGGGAAAAAAGUUUAAUACAAAACUUUAUAAAGUUAGGAAAAUUUUUAACUUUACGACUUAAAAUUAUAUAAAUAUAAUUUAACUUCUUAAACUUAUUAAAAAUAUUAUAUUAUCUUAAACUUAAGGAUAUAUUUUAAAAUUUAAGAUAUAUUAAAACAUGUUAUAUUUAUUAACUUAAAUUUAAAAUAUAUUUUUAAACUUUUUAAGUUAUAUUAAAACUUAAACUUAUUAAAAAAAAGUUAAUAAAUUAUAGAAAUUAUAUAAGUUAUAUAUAUAAGUUAAUAUAUAUCUUAAAAUUUUAAAAUUUUUAAGAUAUAUGCAAACUUAAACUUAUUAAAAAAAAGUUUAUAAAUUAUAUAAGUUAAUAUAUAUAUAUAUAUAAUUUAAAUUAAAAUUAAAAAAUAAACAGUACCUAGUACGCCGGCGUGUCUUCCGGUGAUGUUCCGGUCAACAAGGGGAAAAUUCCGGUAUUCUGGUUCCGGUAACACCGGUUCCGGCGACAAAAUCAAUAAGGAAGUUCCGGUACCGGUUCCGGUCAGUUGCCA